GUUGAGAUAGCCAAGCUUGGUAUGGCGCAGGAUUGCUAAUCCUGUGUUCUCCGGGACGCGGGGGUUCAAAUCCCUCUCUCAACG
rnacentral:tRNA from 1 species